AAAGAACGCCAGGCAGAGGUAUUCAACACAAAAUAAAUCUUUAUUAUAAUCAAUUAACGCAAUAAUCAUAUAAAUAGUAACAACAGAAAGAGACAACACCGCUGCUUUAAUGAUAACUCAAACAGAUCAACACAAAGAGAAUGGUGACCACUUCAACAAAGAAAACAACUAUAAGGCUUCAACAGAAAAAGACAGCAACGCUGCUAUUAACGAUAACCAGGCAGGCCAAACAAAGUAAUGGAGGCCGCCGUCACCUAAGCAAAACCACUACUCGGUUAAGAGCUACUCACAAAGAGCCACGCACGGUGGGGCUGGUCACACAUACACAGCAGUAGUGAUGGGACGUUCUGUAUCGAGGCUUCGAAGCUUGUGUCGAGUAAUGGAGGGGGCGUUUCCGCGAUGCGCGUAUCGAGGCUUGCUUCGUUUAUGGGAGGAGCUGAAAAUGAUGAUGUCCGAAGCCUCGCUGCCCGCUGUACCACGUGACUGGUUCAGGAAGUGGUUCGAACUGUGGAGCUCCACAGUAACCGGAUACACGUGACCUCCACAGUAGCCGGAAGCACGUGACCUCCACAGUAGCCAUAAACACGCAUGGAUACCGUGGAAGUCUUGCAAGUUGAUCGCAAAGAUGCACAUAUCAAUCUGGAAUUCGGGCUUAAAGCCAGAAUUGCAGGAAUGCAACACGUGUUGCAGAGGACUUUCACUGCCCUCUGUGCCCCACUUUCAGCCCUACCGUCAGGGCAAAGAUUGAGGAGCAUCUAAGUGUGCAUAUAAAAAAUGCUUUGCAUUUCAAUGAUAAAAUGAUAUGCCGGUGCAGGCUGCCUUGUAGGACAACAGGACACUUUCACUGCCCUGUCUGUAAGAUUACAAUCAUACGGCGUGGGGAUAUGGCAAGGCAUUUAUUGUCUUGUCAGCAUUCUUCAAUGCCAAGUCAGCCACCAUUAUCAGGACUGCUCCCCGCUGAACUCUCCGAGGAGACCCCUAUUCUUCCGGCAGUACUCUUUGAGGAGCCCCAUCUCCCCCCCAAGGUUUUGUCUUCGGUAUCUGAACCAUUUUCUGAAUCUUUGUUAGAACAUUCCUAUGCUCUACCCUCUGUGUUCAAUAAAACUGCAGCUGAUGGAAAGUCCAUGAAAAUGACAUGCCCUCACUGUGGCCUUACUCUUCGUACCAAAAACUACAAGGCUCACAUGAUGAGGAAGCACUCCAACCGAUCAAUAGAUGUUUCCCUGGCCAGUCAUCUGCAGUGUGUUUGUGUAGAUGAAACUACAGGGUUAUUUGCUGUGCAGAGAACUGGCCAUGGGUUUUCUGUGCCAGUUCACGUUCAGAGGAAAACAUGGGGGAUGUCUCACAAUAUCAGAUGUGAGCUGGAGGAAUGUCAGCAAUACCAGUUGCUGGCCCAGCGGAGCGGACUAGGCUUCAGUUUAUGUGAGCACCUUCGCUCACUAGAUUACUGCCGAGAAACUGUAAAGGAGGUUUUUCUUCAAGAGCACAUCGUGAUGGAAAUGGUGGACCUUA